GUUGGUUGCUUAACGUCCAGCAAUGACAAGAAGAACAGGACUGAAAGACUGGGGACAGACAGAUCUAAAACAUCAAAUCAAAACUUUGAUCAGUUGGGUAUAUUUAGGAGAUAAUCUGAUUCAUGCUAUGCUUUUUGAACUAAAUGUCAUUUAGUGAGCAUCCUUCUGUUCCCCAUGGAAAUUAUGAUUUUAACAACGGAAUAACAUUGACCUUGACCAUUGUGGUAGCGACAGGCUGUCUAGAUCUUCA
rnacentral:lncRNA from 1 species